rnacentral:rRNA from 1 species
UGAGAUAUUGCACAAUGGGGGAACCCUGAUGCAGCAACGCCGCGUGGAGGAUGACGCAUUUCGGUGUGUAAACUCCUUUUAUGAGUCAAGAAAUGACGGUAGCUCAUGAAUAAGCACCGGCUAACUCCGUGCCAGCAGCCGCGGUAAUACGGAGGGUGCAAGCGUUACUCGGAAUCACUGGGCGUAAAGGACACGUAGGCGGGUUGGAAAGUCAGAUGUGAAAUCCUACAGCUUAACUGUAGAACUGCAUUUGAAACUUCCAACCUAGAGUAUGGGAGGGGGAGAUGGAAUUAGUGGUGUAGGGGUAAAAUCCGUAGAUAUCACUAGGAAUACCUAAAGCGAAGGCGAUCUCCUGGAACAUUACUGACGCUAAGGUGUGAAAGCGUGGGGAGCAAACG